AAAAACUUGCCGGUUACAAGAGGGACUCCAGGUCAGGGGAGAGUAGGAUUACAUUUUAUGAAUAAUCGAAUGUACAGCCGGUGAGCGUAGAAAUCAAUCGCCUGCGUCGCUGUCUUGAACUUAUUCGGUUCUUUCGUGCGCUCUGCCGACAAGUGAAAUAGAAUAAUAAGCCCGAAUUCAGUUGCGGUUGGGAAAGACGCGAAGGUCUUCUUCGUA
rnacentral:lncRNA from 1 species